rnacentral:rRNA from 1 species
UACGUAGGGGGCAAGCGUUGUCCGGAUUUAUUGGGCGUAAAGAGCGUGUAGGCGGCUAGAUAGGUCCGUUGUGAAAUCUCGAGGCUCAACUUCGAGCUGUCGGUGGAAACUGUCUGGCUAGAGUCCGGAAGAGGAGAAUGGAAUUCCUGGUGUAGCGGUGAAAUGCGCAGAUAUCAGGAAGAACACCCGUGGCGAAGGCGGUUCUCUGGGACGGUACUGACGCUGAGACGCGAAAGCGUGGGGAGCAAACAGG